rnacentral:tRNA from 4 species
GCCUCUGAAGGAUAACAGUCAUCCGUUGGUCUUAGGAACCAAAAACUCUUGGUGCAAAUCCAAGCAGUGGCU